rnacentral:rRNA from 1 species
UACGUAGGGUGCAAGCGUUGUCCGGAAUUAUUGGGCGUAAAGAGCUCGUAGGCGGUUUGUUGCGUCGGCUGUGAAAUCCCGAGCUCAACCUCGGGUCUGCAGUCGAUACGAGCAAACUAGAGUGUUGCAGGGGAGACUGGAAUUCCUGGUGUAGCGGUGAAAAUGCGCAGAUAUCAGGAGGAACACCCGGUGGCGAAGGCGGGGUCUCUGGGG